rnacentral:rRNA from 1 species
UACGUAGGGCGCAAGCGUUGUCCGGAAUUAUUGGGCGUAAAGAGCUCGUAGGCGGCUUGUCACGUCGGGUGUGAAAGCCCGGGGCUUAACCCCGGGUCUGCAUUCGAUACGGGCUAGCUAGAGUGUGGUAGGGGAGAUCGGAAUUCCUGGUGUAGCGGUGAAAUGCGCAGAUAUCAGGAGGAACACCGGUGGCGAAGGCGGGUCUCUGGGCCGAUACUGACGCUGGGGAGCGAAAGCGUGGGGAGCGAACAGG